rnacentral:lncRNA from 1 species
AUUGCAUAAGAAAGUUAGUACCAAAAAAAUAUAAAUUUUAUGAGAAGUGUUUGAAUGGAUCUAGAAAUCAAAAUGGGUCACUCAAAAUUUAAGAAAGUUUACAUUUGCCAAAUCGACACCACUAAUAUAGAGUGAAAUCGACGUCAAUAAAAUGACAUUGGUAUUGAAUUUUACGGAUUAGUAAAAGACUAGUGAAAUGAAAAUAGUGAAUAGAGGUGGGG